AGGGCCUGGGGGCUGUGGGAAGCUCAGCAACAAGUGCUCCAUUAUGCCAGGAGGUCUCCUCAGGAUGAGCCCCAUGUGCAGCCUACAUUGUGCUACUCUCUCAGAUCCAGUGUGCAGCUCUCCUCCUGGGACUUCCCUCCACAACUUUUCUCAGUUGAAUCCACUAUGUGUUGGAUCCCAGGUCUUCCUCUUUAUUUUCUCCUUCAUUUUGCUGGAGCACAUCCUCAAGUAACUUUCUAAAAUAAGUUUAAACAGAUUCCCAACACCAGAGCUUCUAAGAGACCUGGAACCUCUUGAGUGAUGAGCGUGUCUUUUGUGUGCUGACGAGAGGACAGAGCUGGUGACCCUUGGGCAGCUUCAGGAAGGGACUGCUCCCCAGAAAGACCAAGGCAGGACUUAUAGGGGACAGGCGUUACAGGUGGACGAGAUAUAUAUUGGCUCAGCUCGAACACGCGGGAUAUCUGGAAGCAAGCCUUAUCGGUUAUAGGUGGAUUCAGAGAGUCUUCAGUUUGCGGCUGGUUAAAGGAGCAAAGCUUUAUCUAAAACCUAGAGUCAGCGAUGAGGACAUCUGCACCCGAAACAUGGGGCAGGGGUGACUAACAGGGUGCAUGACUUGACUUAACCCUCGUCUGACAUGGUCUUGGGUCCUGUUUGUAACUGGGGCUCUUAUUGCCACGGUCAGUUCUGUCAGCCUUCUGAUCUCUGUUUUGACAUUAAUGCCUAAAUUCCAAAGGGAGUGGGAACAGCCAGGCGUCCAAUCUCCCUUCCUGUUGCGGCCGGGAACUGUUUUCCAGGUUUCUCUGGGGUCCCCUUGGCCAAGAGCGGGUCCAUGUAGUCACUGGGGGCCUUAGG
rnacentral:lncRNA from 10 species